UACAGAGGGGGCGAAGCGUUGUUCGGAAUUACUGGGCGUAAAGCGCACGUAGGCGGACUGUUAAGUCGGGGGUGAAAUCCUGGGGCUCAACCUCAGAAUUGCCUCCGAUACUGGCAGUCUCGAGUGCGGGAGAGGUGAGUGGAAUUCCCAGUGUAGAGGUGAAAUUCGUAGAUAUUGGGAAGAACACCAGUGGCGAAGGCGGCUCACUGGCCCGUAACUGACGCUGAGGUGCGAAAGCGUGGGGAGCAAACAGG
rnacentral:rRNA from 1 species